rnacentral:rRNA from 1 species
UUUGACCUCAAAUCAGGUAGGAUUACCCGCUGAACUUAAGCAUAUCAAUAAGCGGAGGAAAAGAAACCAACAGGGAUUGCCUUAGUAACGGCGAGUGAAGCGGCAAAAGCUCAAAUUUGAAAUCUGGCACCUUCGGUGUCCGAGUUGUAAUUUGAAGAAGGUAACUUUGGAGUUGGCUCUUGUCUAUGUUCCUUGGAACAGGACGUCACAGAGGGUGAGAAUCCCGUGCGAUGAGAUGCCCAAUUCUAUGUAAAGUGCUUUCGAAGAGUCGAGUUGUUUGGGAAUGCAGCUCUAAGUGGGUGGUAAAUUCCAUCUAAAGCUAAAUAUUGGCGAGAGACCGAUAGCGAACAAGUACAGUGAUGGAAAGAUGAAAAGAACUUUGAAAAGAGAGUGAAAAAGUACGUGAAAUUGUUGAAAGGGAAGGGCUUGAGAUCAGACUUGGUAUUUUGCGAUCCUUUCCUUCUUGGUUGGGUUCCUCGCAGCUUACUGGGCCAGCAUCGGUUUGGAUGGUAGGAUAAUGACUAAGGAAUGUGGCUCUACUUCGGUGGAGUGUUAUAGCCUUGGUUGAUACUGCCUGUCUAG